UGCCAGCAUGACGUGCCCUGGCUUGGUGUGGGCACUCGUGGUCUCCGCCUGUCUUGGUAAGGAAGGCACUUGCACUUGCACUUGCUUUGACUAGUAUCCAACAGGACUGGAAAGUAGGAAGAAAGAUUAAAAAUAGCACAGGGAUCUGAUCUCCUCAUUGGGCCCACACAGUGUGGGUGAGAAAGCUGAUGGAUUUUGCCUGAAGUUUGGAUCAAGAAGAAGAAGGGUGGGUGGGGACGGGAACCAGCUCGUGAGGGUCUGUCCCCGUCUCUGACACGAUGCCCCAGGGAGGCCCUUUCUCUGCUCUUUCCCGCAGGACGCAGUGUGGCCCAGACAGUCACUCAGUCCCAACCGAAGAUGUCCGUGCGGCGGGGCGGGACUGUGACCCUGGACUGCACGUACGCCGCUAGUGUGAAUUAUUAUUAUUUGUACUGGCAUAAACAGACUCCCAGCGGGCAGAUGAUUCUCGUUAUUAGCCAAGGAUCUCAUGACCAACAGCCUGCAAGAAGGAGUCGCUUCUCUGUGGACUUCCGGAAAGCAGCCAAAUUGUUCAGUCUCAGGAUCUCAGACUCGCGGCCGGAGGACGCCGCGCUGUAUUUCUGUGUUUUCUCCGAACGCCGCCCCCGGCGAGACAAACGAUAGGAA